rnacentral:rRNA from 1 species
UAAGGAAUAUUGGACAAUGGGCGCAAGCCUGAUCCAGCCAUGCCGCGUGAAGGAUGAAGGCCCUAUGGGUCGUAAACUUCUUUUAUACGGGACAAAACCCCCCGAUGCGUCGGGGGUUGAUGGUACUGUAAGAAUAAGGGUCGGCUAACUUCGUGCCAGCAGCCGCGGUAAUACGAAGGACCCGAGCGUUAUCCGGAUUUAUUGGGUUUAAAGGGUGCGUAGGCGGAUUAGUAAGUCAGUGGUGAAAGCCCAUCGCUUAACGGUGGAACUGCCAUUGAUACUGCUAGUCUUGAGUAUGGUUGAGGUGGGCGGAAUGUGUCAUGUAGCGGUGAAAUGCUUAGAUAUGACCCAGAACACCAAUUGCGAAGGCAGCUCGCUAAGCCAUAACUGACGCUGAGGCACGAAAGCGUGGGGAGCAAACAGGAUUAGAUACCCUGGUAGUCCACGCCCUAAACUAUGAUCACUCGUUGUUGGCGAUACACAGUCAGCGAACG